CUCCUACGGGGCGCAGCAGUGGGGAAUAUUGCACAAUGGGGGAAACCCUGAUGCAGCGACGCCGCGUGAGUGAAGAAGUAUUUCGGUAUGUAAAGCUCUAUCAGCAGGGAAGAAAAAAGACGGUACCUGACUAAGAAGCCCCGGCUAACUACGUGCCAGCAGCCGCGGUAAUACGUAGGGGGCAAGCGUUAUCCGGAUUUACUGGGUGUAAAGGGAGCGUAGACGGCGCGGCAAGUCUGAAGUGAAAGCCCGGGGCUCAACCCCGGGACUGCUUUGGAAACUGUAUGGCUGGAGUGCUGGGGAGG
rnacentral:rRNA from 1 species